UCCAUUGAAUGUACAAACUGUGAAAAAAUUAUGAUUUGCAAGUAUGAGAUAUUUGGAUAAACUUCCCAACCAUAACAUAUUGAACGCUUUAUGGGCUUUAUAUAUUAGAACCAGCACUCCAUAAUGCUCCGAGUUUACCUGUAUAUAAAUAUUAAAAGCUCUCCUUCCAAGGCUUUUAUAACUUUUGUUGCCUGUGAACAUUGUCUCCGCAAAAUGAAGGGUUACAUUGUAGGGCCCAUCCAUCAGACAAAAACCGUAAUAAGUUAGAGAGAUGGCAGAACGUCGUGCUUUUAUGUAAAGUUGGGCAUCAUUCAUGGACAGUGUGGAUGUGUUUUUAACUUCAUAGCUAACUGCAGUGCUAUCGUCAUCGGUGAAGUAACCAGUGCUACUGUAGGCCCAGUAAUCACUCCUGAAGAAACUUGAAGGUGUAGCCUCCCGUGAGUCAUCUUCGUAUGUGGUGCCCCUUACUUCUACGUUGCUCCCACCGCAAUUUAUGAAGAGAUUAUCCCGAGCUGGAUGGAUUAAAGAAGCAGCCACAGAGAAAAUUCAGUUUCUUCUAUUUGUUAAUAUGGAGUGGACUUUCCAGACACACUAAAUAAGCUAGCAUUCACUCAUUGGAAAAUUACAUAGAAACUCCCAAGUUAUGAGCAACCCAUUAUUUCAUGCAGGUAGCUUUUGAAAUUAUUAGGGUAAUUAUGCAUCAACCAUCAAAGAUUGAAACAAUAGCGAAGAGGAGAGUUGACAAGGAGAUAAAGUUGAUCAGAAAUUACACAGAGAGUAAGAUGCAAUAUUAGAAUCUGAUGAUAAUGAUAGGAUAUGUUAGAAUAAUUUGAAUAUAAAAUCAUGCAUUCUUCUAACAAUUUAAGUUUUUAAAAUAGUUGGUUGUGAUCCUAUAAAAUCUCAUAUGGUAUCAGAGCUAGAUUUCAUGAGUUCAAAUCUUUCAAAGCCUAAUUUGCCUCCCUAAUUAAAUAUGUCCACACUUCAUCUAAUAGCUUCAACUUUUAGAACAAUUAGCUGCAGUCCCACAAAAUUUCAUAGGAUAUACAGCCCAUCAAUUUACAUUUUAUACAACAAUGACUCUGCAGCAUAUUAACUUACUUUUUGCACAACGUUUACUCCGCAAACAUGAUACAAGUCCACUUGUGGCAGAAUAUGAGGUUCUGAGCAAGUCAGCAAAGAUUUUACUGUUAUAAUCAUCAUCAUUCUUAAUGAAGUUCAAUGCUAAGUACAUAAUCAAUAAAAAUGCGGGUCCUUAGAAAUCCAAGUCUCUCGUUGAAAAGUUAAUUGCAAACAUACGCAUUCUCAACCUGGGAGCUUGCGAACAAGUUGCUGUAGAGAAAAGACAAAAUCAACAUUCAGCAGAGAAAUGGAAAUAUUAUACACAAACAGGAUAUAAGUUACUCAAUAAGUGCACAUUUGGGGGGAGCCCUGGACCGACUGAAGGAAGUAGGACAUACACAGAUCCUUCAUGACAUUCUGAUCCAGCAGUGAACUUGUUGUAUGAUAAAUCACUACACAGAGAAACAGUCAACCAUUUCCAAAAUCUCAUCAAUUUGAAGAAUACACUGAAAGUCAUUCUAUCAAAUGAUUUUUUUUUUUUUAAUAAUUCCAUCAAAUGAAUAGUAUGUACAAAAAUGCAGAUAAGUUGCAAAAAAUGGACAAGUAAGGCAAGAUGAAAGGCGAAAACAUCACAAGAUGAUGAAAUUGAUAUUUUAUUCCUACUGAAAAUAUCUUAUCUUAGAAUAUGAAAAGGAGAAAGACUAACGGAAGUAAACAGAGACUUUAAAACUAUUUAUAGUGUAUAGAAACAUUUUUACUCAGUAACAGUACCAUAGUCAUGAUGUCUAAGGCAAAGAGGCUUAAGUAGAACUGUGAUUCCACCUACUACUACAUCGCGUCUUCGAAUAAGAAAUUAUCCAGACCACAUUUAUCUGUUUAAACUACACCUCACAAGAGCUUCAUUCCUACACCCAUAAGAUAAUAUCAACUUCUCCAAAGUACACUCAUUUUGGUUGUAGAGUUUCUCAAAUACACAAACCCAUAAAAACAUUGUUAUCAGCAAGAAAUGGCCCAAGCAACUAAUCAUAUACUGCAGGUGAUACGUUAGACAAACUUUCAAAGAGGAUUAAUAGGAGCUAAAAAAUUUUCAAACAUAAUUUUAAUCAUUCCAAUAGGUCUGAAUAUGAUCUACAGCUGGGAAUGGCUUUUUGUGAGGGGAAAAUGGAGCUAACUAGGCACUUCCAAGAAAAUCCAUUUUAUAUUCUUUCAUGCAUAUCAUACAGUUCAGCCUCUUUUGUUACAUACAUCCAUCCAAUUAGCAGAUCCCAACGAGGAGAAAGGUACUUAUGAUGUUUCCAUUUAUCUCCAAAGGCUACUAACCAUAAAGAUGCAUGAUGUGAAUGCAUAAUUGCUUGGUACAGAGCAAGAUUAGCCAGAAAAAGCUAGAAGCAAAUUCAUGAUUAAACAAGAUAUUUUCUUCAGGCAGGGAAGCUUACACAUUUUUUCCUUUCUUCAGGAUCCAAUCAGGGACUGCUCCAGUCAACUGGUUUCCAGUUAGAUACCUAAACAAGAUUAUUUUAAUGAGUCAGCUCCUCCUGUACUUUAUACACUCUAACUGAAAUUAUUUAACACUUAUACCUCAAAAACGCAUUAUUUAGCAGAUUAUUAGCAUUUUUGCUUACUUGUGGUGUAGAAAAAAAUCAGUUUAAGUCAUGAUAACAAUAUAGAGCUUUCAGCUGGAGAUGAAAGAUUAAGGAAAUCAAUGACAGAGGAAAACCCUGAUCCCUGCGAAACUUGGAGCGCCUGGAGAAAGAUUACCAUAACAGUCGUACACAAAGCUGGACUAGUGAAGGGUACCUCCAAAUUAGCUUAUCAACUAUUUCCUUGUGAUAAUGUUUUUGUCCUUCUAAGACAUAAAAUAAAUAAUUAAGGAAGACAUGCCAUUGUCAAGCUUCAAUUGUUGGGCAGAAAGAUGAAAACCAAUGGUAAACAGUCCAAGAAGCUUAGGAGUACAGUUUCUCAUCAUUCUCAAAACUAGGGAUAAGAUACCAAGGUCCUCCACAGACCUUCUAAAUAGCACUUGAGAGCUGCACUCACCAAACUUCUAGAGCCAUUGUUGUGGAAAGAACCAAGUAGAGAGCCUAAGGACUUUUGCUAUAUUUAAUCUCCUAUACAACGUAAAAUAGGCACACAAGACAUGCAUUGAGUACAGAAACAUACAACUGUCAAACGCUAAAGUAUCACCGAUCCAUUUAACUCUUCCAGCGUAAACAAGUAACUUUUUGAAACUUGUGAAUCAUGCGAAGAAAUUAUCAAAAGGGCUGCUCUUUAAGCAACAGAAUAUCAACGAUCUAUGCCUGCUCCAUGACUAAAGUCCCACCAAAAUAAUUGCUUGACCACUAGAACAGCUUGAGACUUUAGAUUCUUCUACAAAAUACGAAAAGAAGCCUAAGUUCAGCAUCGAAGUACUUACAUAUAUUCUACAUUUUCCAGUCUGCUGUAGGAUCUAGGGAUUUCGCCACUCAGUUUGUUGAAGCUGAGGUCUCUGCAAAGCAAGUUUAUGUGAAUAUAUAAUGAGAAGAUACUUUUAACUGACUCCCUCAGGACACUCUUUGAGCAUACUUCAGACGAUUGUACAAACACAGACAACAUCAAUGAGCAUACAAAGUCCAAUUCGGAUGUCUAGACAUACAGGUCAACUGUCUAGUGCCUAAGCUUUCUACUAGACAUUCAUCUCCAGAGGCAUUCAUUGCCUAAAUCCAAGUUUCAAGUUGGUCACAUGCUAUAAGUAUACAAAACUGCUGUAAAUCAAAUUUACAAAAGAGGAACAAACAUUUCAUUAGAGGAACAAACAUUUCAUUAACUAAGGAUCUGAACUUGAGCACCAAGGACCUGCACACGGCCUUCGCGGACUCAACCUAGGUGCUGGGGACUAGAGCUUGAGUGUCAAAGACCCAAGCACUGCUUUUAUGUACUUGGGGUCGGGUAAUGGGGCAUUGGGCCUAGGCACCAGGGCUUCGGGCCCAGCCUCGAUGGACUAGGCCCAGGUGCUGAAGACGUAGUCCUGAACGCCGAGGACCAAGAACCAGGCGUUGGGGUUCCCGUGUCCAAGUAAAGAGUUGCGGGUCCAAGCACCGAUACCACCUCAUAGUUUGGAAAAUGUUUUCCCACUUUUUCAAAAGAGGAAAUCAUUUCCUAAUUUAAACAUAGAUCUUUCAUUGACUCGGAAAACAUUUUCCAUUAACUCAUUUUCCUAAGCAAACCAAACGCUGGAAAAUCAGGAAAAUGUUUUUCGCGAAACAAACAAAGCCAUGACAGAAUGGCAAAAUGUUGCUGUUAAAAGUAGCGUUUAUUUUGCUGUUAAAAGUAGCGUUUAUUAAAUCUUACAGAGAUGACCACAUGAACAACAAGAAUUGACUUGUAUAGAGAUGCAUUUGAAGCCAUGCUCUCGUUUGAACUAUGAAUGUUAUGUCUGACAAGUGUACAACAGUCAAGCAAAAAACUCCAGCUAGAUAUUUUUAUGGCUGAGAUUCGAGAAUGUAAACCACCGGAAGGAAAGUUUCCAGACAAUCAACCACUAGAAGCCUCCAUUUUGCAUUAAUGCUCUUAAGAAGUUAAGAUAACAUAUCAAAGCAAAAGUAAAUUAGACGAAAUGGGAAACCACAACCAAGGUAAGAAUUCUUGCUGGAAAAGUGAAAACAAAGAAAGUGUUAGAAUAUUUAAAUAACAAACCACACUUUCAUCUAAUAGCUUGAGUUUUUAGAAUAUAUAAUGAGAAGAUACUUUUAACUGACUCCCUCAGGACACUCUUUGAGCAUACUUCAGACGAUUGUACAAACACACACAACAUCAAUGAACAUACAAAGUCCAGUUCAGAUGUUUAGACAUACAGGUCAACUGUCUAGUGCCUAAGCUUUGUACUAGACAUUCAUCUCCAGAGGCAUUCAUUGCCUAAAUCCAAGUUUCGAGUUGGUCACAUGCUAUAAGUAUACAAAACUGCUGUAAAUCAAAUUUACAAAAUGGAAAUUUCAAUUUAUAUAACUAGAAAAGCUAUUUGGGCACUAAAUUGAGUGUGUCCCAAGGAAUGCACCAUAUUAUAGUUCAGAUUGGGAGAUUUCACUAAUCUAAUAGGACCGAAACUAAAGCUAAUCAUAAUUUGUUGAAAACAUCUCCUUCACAAUAUAUUAUUUAUGAAUAAAGGGAUGCCGACUCAAUACUAGGGUGCUUAGAAAAGGAAAUAUCAGCUUCAGUGAGUAAAAAAAUAAAGAAUAAAAUGAGGAUUUCAAAAAACAGGAAAGGGAAUAGAGUAUGUGAUAAGCCGCAGCAGAACCAUAGAAAUUUGGUCAUUCAAGAAUGUCAGAAAAACAAAAAAUUAAAGCUCCAUUUGUUUCAUGGAAAAUGUAACAUUUUUAGAAAAUAUUUUCCAUGAAGUUAUUUUUUUAGGAAAAUGAAAAUAUUCCGGUGCUUGACUGAAAUCCUGAAAAUACCCAGAAAAUAUUUUCCGUUGUUUAGCGAGGAAAAUUUAAUUUGAUUUUCAAGGAAAAAAUUGCGACAGGCCACAGGAUAAAAAAAUAUUUUUAUAAGAACAAAUAUUUCAUUAACUAAGGAUCCAAACUUGAGCACCAAGGACCUGCACACGGCCUUCGCGGACUCAACCUAAGUGCUGGGGACUAGAGCUUGAGUGUCAAGGACCCAAGCACUGCUUUUAUGUACUUGGGGUCAGGUAUUAAGGCAUUAGGCUUGGGCACCAGGGCUUCGGGCCCAGCCUCGAUGGACUAGGCCCGGGCGCUGAAGUCCUAGUCCUUAACGCAGUCCUGAACGUUUAGGACCAAGAACCAGGCGUUGGGGUUACUGUGUCCAAGCAAAGAGUUGCGGGUCCAAGCACCAAUACCAACUCAUAGUUUGGAAAAUGUUUUCCCACUUUUUCAAAAGAGGAAAUCAUUUCCUAAAUUUAAACAUAGAUCUUUCAUUGACUCGGAAAACAUUUUCCAUUAACUCAUUUUCCUAAACAAACCAAAUGCUGGAAAAUCAGGAAAAUGUUUUUCGUGAAACAAACAAAGCCAUGACAAAAUGGCAAAAUGUUGCUGUUAAAAGUAGCGUUUAUUAAAUCUACAGAGAUGACCACAUGAACAACAAGAAUUGACUUGUAUAGAGAUGCAUUUGAAGCCAUGCUCUGGUUUGAACUAUGAAUGUUAUGUCUGACAAGUGUACAACAGUCAAGCAUAAAACUCCAGCUACAUAUUGUAGGGCUGAGAUUUGAGAAUGUAAACCACCGGAAGGAAAGUUUCCACACAAUCAACCACUAGAAGCCUCCAUUUUGCAUUAAAGCUCUUAAGAAGUUAAGAUAACAUAUCAAAGCAAAAGUAAAUUAGACGAAAUGGGAAACCACAACCAAGGUAAGAAUUCUUGCUGGAAAAGUGAAAACAAAGAAAGUGUUAGAAUAUUUAAAUAACAAACCACGCUUUCAUCUAAUAGCUUGAGUUUUUAGAAUAGUUGACAAUAGUUCCACAAAUUCUCACAAAGAGAAAAAGUCCAUAUACUUUUGUGCGAAACUGUAUAUUCUACAGCAGAGGCCACAAUCACCAAGAAUUUAAAUUCCACAUCAUUCACAAUUCAGCAAUAUCAACAGAAAAUAUCAAAACACCAUUGAAGUCAGUAAAGGACCUUCAAGCCAUCUUAAAUGGGUUCUUUAACCGCAACCAAUAGUCAACCAAAAACUAGUAGAAAUUUCACUCCUUAAGGGUAAAAUUAUUUAUUCUGCUUGGAAUAGCCAAAGGGAAAAGCCGCUUUCUACUCACAACAUAUAUAGACUUGUCAUAUUUGCUAGAUAAUCAGGUAGAUCUCCCAUGAGAUUGCAGCUCCUCAGAAUCCUAUAAGAAAAUAAUACCGAUAUUGUCACAUUGCUAAGACGAUUUGGCUCUUUUGCAUAAAGUAAACUAUCUGUGAAGAAGCAUCGAUCUCACAGUGUUUGAAUAUAUGUACUGUUAAGUUGUGGAACAUGAGACUCGGGUCCAUCGAGGUCACUUAUUCUCCUGCAUAUCAAAAUUAAAUAGGAGCUUUAUUUGAUUGAUAACAUCUUAAAGAAAGAGAGAUCAGAUCGAAAUGCCAAAAUUCCAUACUGACAAGUCAUUCAAUCGCUCCAAAAGUGCAAUCCCAGAGGGAAUCGGCCCUUGCAAUCCACUUCCUUGAAUAAACCUGAUGAUACGAUUCAUAGAUGGAAUUGUCUUGGGGGUAUAUCUAUAGAGACGGACUUAAAAGGGGAAGAAGCAUUAAGCCUUACAGUGUUUGGAGAUUUGUAAAGUUCUGAAUAAAAUCGGGUAUCUUUCCCGUGAACUGAUUAUCACCAAGUCGCCUACAGUGCAUUAAACAACAUGAUUCAUAUGAAGGAGAAAGAAUAGAAAUGGCUAAAUAUUAGCUGAGUUUGUGGAUACUGGAAACUAACAGGUCAGUCAAUUCCGUUAAGUUAACAAAUGUUUGAGGCAGCUCCCCCGUGAAAUUAUUUGACGUAAGCCUCCUGAAACAAGAAAAACCCAUGACAACGCAUUGGUUAAUAGACCCUGAAUGCUGUAUCUCUCAACAGAUCAGUGGGAUCCUCCCGAGUCGACCGAUACAAAAUCAUCAGNNNNNNNNNNNNNNNNNNNNNNNNNNNNNNNNNNNNNNNNNNNNNNNNNNNNNNNNNNNNNNNNNNNNNNNNNNNNNNNNNNNNNNNNNNNNNNNNNNNNNNNNNNNNNNNNNNNNNNNNNNNNNNNNNNNNNNNNNNNNNNNNNNNNNNNNNNNNNNNNNNNNNNNNNNNNNNNNNNNNNNNNNNNNNNNNNNNNNNNNNNNNNNNNNNNNNNNNNNNNNNNNNNNNNNNNNNNNNNNNNNNNNNNNNNNNNNNNNNNNNNNNNNNNNNNNNNNNNNNNNNNNNNNNNNNNNNNNNNNNNNNNNNNNNNNNNNNNNNNNNNNNNNNNNNNNNNNNNNNNNNNNNNNNNNNNNNNNNNNNNNNNNNNNNNNNNNNNNNNNNNNNNNNNNNNNNNNNNNNNNNNNNNNNNNNNNNNNNNNNNNNNNNNNNNNNNNNNNNNNNNNNNNNNNNNNNNNNNNNNNNNNNNNNNNNNNNNNNNNNNNNNNNNNNNNNNNNNNNNNNNNNNNNNNNNNNNNNNNNNNNNNNNNNNNNNNNNNNNNNNNNNNNNNNNNNNNNNNNNNNNNNNNNNNNNNNNNNNNNNNNNNNNNNNNNNNNNNNNNNNNNNNNNNNNNNNNNNNNNNNNNNNNNNNNNNNNNNNNNNNNNNNNNNNNNNNNNNNNNNNNNNNNNNNNNNNNNNNNNNNNNNNNNNNNNNNNNNNNNNNNNNNNNNNNNNNNNNNNNNNNNNNNNNNNNNNNNNNNNNNNNNNNNNNNNNNNNNNNNNNNNNNNNNNNNNNNNNNNNNNNNNNNNNNNNNNNNNNNNNNNNNNNNNNNNNNNNNNNNNNNNNNNNNNNNNNNNNNNNNNNNNNNNNNNNNNNNNNNNNNNNNNNNNNNNNNNNNNNNNNNNNNNNNNNNNNNNNNNNNNNNNNNNNNNNNNNNNNNNNNNNNNNNNNNNNNNNNNNNNNNNNNNNNNNNNNNNNNNNNNNNNNNNNUUGAGUUUGACAUUCCCAUUAAUCCACUAAAAAUAUAAUUUAUAUAAUUAAAUGCUAAGCAUAUAAUAUGCGAUUGUAUUGAUUAAACUUAUAAAAAUUUGUAUAAUCAUACCGUGAACAAUUAAUAUUAUGCUCAUAAUUACUUCAUUAGUAAUUUUAAUAUGAUAAGUGAUUAUGUAUUGUUGCUACAUUUCGACCAAAAAAUCAGCUAAUGUUUUUUGUUUUUUAAUGAAAUAUUAAUAUGGUGCAAAGAGAUUUAGUUGGGCAGCCAAUCGACUCUAUAAAAAGAAAAGAUUGGUGUGCAAUUGCAUGAUUAAUAUUAAAGUCUAGUGAUGAAUCCACGAUGGUAUAAUUCAUGAAAUUGAGGGAGAAAGAGACAUUCUGCUAACGUGGGAAAUAGUUUUGUUGUGGGCGUCGGUGGAAUUCUGGCAGAGGACGUAGUUGGUACUUGAAUAGUUUGAAUAGUCUUUGUUGUCUCCCCAUCCACCCUCCUCACUGCAUGGAUCUGCGUCGAAAUCCCAAUCCGAUUUCCCUAACAUCUUUGCUAUUUCUUUCAAUGCAUCCACUAAAAGAGAAAAGAGCCAAUGAGUCAAAAGGAAUAGCAAUGUAUCAUGCAAAACAAGCACAAAGAUGCCAGAUUCGCGUGUGCUUGAGAUUGAAUAUAUGUAUGAAAAACAAGUACCCAAAAAAAAAAAAAACUCGGUGUACGUUGGAGCCCAAAAGGUAAAGGAACAAUAUGAUCAAAGCAAUAAAAGAUUGAUGGGUUUAUUUUUUUUUCACCUUCAUCUUGGGGCAAAAGAGUGGCGGCAGCAGCUNNNNNNNNNNNNNNNNNNNNNNNNNNNNNNNNNNNNNNNNNNNNNNNNNNNNNNNNNNNNNNNNNNNNNNNNNNNNNNNNNNNNNNNNNNNNNNNNNNNNGAGAGAGAUAUCUCCCGUUCUUUAAUCGGAUUUUGUGAAAACAAAACUUGGCUAAGCGAGGGAGCAAGAGAGAGAUAAUGGUUAAGUGAGUGAUCUAACUUCAUGCAUUUAUGUACGAAAAAAGGGAGAGUUGAUAAAGGCUUUUUGCUUUUGUAUAUUUGACGACCUCAAGUCUUCCUCGAACAUAUGAAUAUUCAUCCAUAAUUGAGUGAGUUUUGGUUAAACUUUUCUUGCUUAAUAACUUUCUUCGACCACGUAUUUACCUUUAAUCCAAAGAGAGAGAGAGAGAGAGAGAGAGAGAGAGAGAGAGAGAGAGUUUUGGUUAAAUUUUUCUUGUAUAAUAACUUUUUUGGACAGAUUUACCUUUAAUCAGAGAGAGUGUGUGUUGAUAUUUAAAUUUUGACGAUAUAUUUAGUCAUUUAUUAUAUUAAAUAUUGCAUUAAAAAAUUAAGAAUUAAUUUUUAACCCCUAAACAAAAAUAUUAGAAUUAAAUUGCAUACCAUAUAAGCUUAUGAGCAUUUAUUUUAUUUUGUCUCAUUUCUGCAUUGGACCGAUGAUGAGCGUUGAUUUUUCCAAUAUUCAAUGAUAUAACGGGAUAUUUUUCAUAUAUUCAGGCAAUAUAUUCCGAGAGACAUAUUUUCUAGCAAAAGGAAGGUUUCGGAUGGAAUAUUUAAAAAUGAUAAAAAAAAGAAUAUUAUGCGUGAGUGCAUAUAUUUCGACAAUAUAUAUUCAGGGGGACUAUGCACAAGCAAAAUUGGAAAUAAAAUAUUUCAUGAAGAUCAAAUUCUUGGCCUAUAAAAGGAGUCGCGUUCAUAGAGGUGAGGGGGGCCUUUCUUCGUUUCUUUUGAGUCAAAGAAAACAGCACAAAAAGAGUUAUUUCCGUUGGGGGCUUUUUCUUUUUUCCUUCGUUCCUUUGAAAAAAAAAAAGAAACACGAAAAAAGGAAGAAUAGCCUGCUGAGAGAAAAGUCAAUGUCAACAAAAGGAGCCAUGCUUUUGCUGAAGAAAGUAAAGGGGACAGGAGGGAGAGAGACGUGUGAGGACGAGAGGCAGAGAGGGAAAAAAAAGAGAUGAACUGUUCAUCUUUUUCGUGAGGUCCUGUCGACGUCCGCUGCUGCCCACUACGCCUGCACCGGCCACCGCGCCUCCGCCACUGCCGCUCCGCCACCGCCGCUUCGUCGCUACCUUGCCAACCACCGCCGAUCGUCCCUCGCGACGCUCGCAGCGCGCUCUGUCGGGCUCCGCCGGCCGUCCACCUCGCUGUGCCACCGCCUCCGAAGCUGCGACGUUGUCUCUGCCCGACGGUCCGCCCACCGUCCUCGACGCCUUCCCCGCUCACCCGUCGCCGCGCCCGCCGCUGCUCUACCCGAAGCUGCUAUGCCGAUCCGACGGAACAGAUCGACUGCGACAUCGUCGACCUAGCUGCACCUCCUCACUCUGCACGACGCCGCUGCUCGCCGUCGCAACAACCACUAGCAGCUCGAGCCCGCCUAGCUCCGCCAGCUGCCGCCGCCCGUCCGCCUCGCACGCUGCAGCCCCCAGUGACUCCGGCUCCCCCCCUCACCGCGCGUCUGCUGCCCCCUCGCCGAAGCUCCGACCGACGGUGACCCACCACCCUCAGCUACCCGCCACCACAGCGACCCUUCCUCGAGCCACGCCGAGCCUCCAUCGUGAUCCAUGAGCUGCCGUUCGCUAAGCUGGAUUUGGAAACCAAAACUCGAAUUAGGUCAAAAUAUUGUAUUUUUGGGUUUUCAAAUAUUUGUUUCUUUAUUUAUUUGAAAUAUUCCCUCAUGCUUUAGUGAAAUCCCCCACGUGAUAUUCGUAACUCAAGUAGUCUUCUAAAUUGUGAAAGUUUCCUAAUAGUUUGAUUUCACGCUCGAAAUACAACUUGCAAUUACACGAAAAAAUCGCUAAUCCGAUCUCACGCUCGAGAUAUGAUUCGUGAUUUUGUUUAAAAUUGGCUAAUCCGAUCUCAUGCGCGAGACACGAUUUGUCAAUUUAUUUCCAAAAUUAAAUGAAUAUGUAUGAUAUCUUGCCUGAUUUGUUGCCGUGCUGUUCUUGAUGCCUUUAUUUGGUUGCUCCUGUAAAAGAAAAAGCCCAAAAAAUAUAUUUAGAUUAGGUUCAUGUUGGAAUAUUACUUGUUUUAGGAUUAUUUUGCAUGUUUAGAAUAUGAAAUUUAUUUAUUUCGAAUUUCUUAAAUAAAAAUACCAAAAAAAUUAAUUUAGGGUGUUAGAUUUUCAUUUCAUUAAUUUAAAUUGCACAUUUAAUUAUUUGACAAUUUUAAUUUCAAAUUUCAUAAAAAAGAAAAAGAAAAAAAUUAGAGUUAUGGCAUUCUUUGCACUUCAUCUAGUCAUUGCAUAUUAUGAUGAGAUUGCACAUUUAAUUUAAUUCUAGAUAACAUUUGUAAUUUACUAUAAGUUUAGAUAAUUUUUCUUUUAGGUUAGGGAUUACUAAGUUAAGAUAACAUUCUAGUUUAAAUUAGGAUUUAGCCUAAUAUAAUUCCUAAUAUAAGUUGGAUGAUAUCUUAAUCUGGAUAGAUAAUUUUUGCAAUUUUCUAAUUUCGAAUUUCAUGUAAAAUACUCAAAAAAUUGUCUUAGAAUAAAUCAAUUUCAUUCUCUAGGAUAGAUUUCAUGUUUAUUAAGAAAACAAAAAAAAAAUAUUAUACUUAUGUCAUAUAAUUUAAGUCAUAUUGUUAUGUCAUAUCACUUCAUUAGUAGUAUGUACUGCAUAAAGCAUGAUUCUCAUUAAAUAAGUAAAACAAAAAUUAAGUGAUUACGUGUUAAUUCGUUGCUAUGAGGUAAGUCUCGUAAUUUAUUUAUUGUUUUAUUUGGGUGUUAAAUUGGUGUUCGCGCACUGCAUGAUCNNNNNNNNNNNNNNNNNNNNNNNNNNNNNNNNNNNNNNNNNNNNNNNNNNNNNNNNNNNNNNNNNNNNNNNNNNNNNNNNNNNNNNNNNNNNNNNNNNNNAGAGGUAAAUUAAAAUCAAUUCCAGAUGCCUGUAAAAUUAUUUUUUUUCGGAAAGAAAAAGAGAAAGGUACCAAAAUGACAUUAGAUAAAUCUAACGUAAUCAAGUCCUCGAAAUUCAUAAUCAGUAAAUCUCCCGCUACUUUACUUGGAUUACUAAUCGAUCAAUAAAAAAUAGAUUAGUGACGAUUCAAAAUUGAAAAAUUAUUUGCAUGUUGAGAACUUGAACUUAAGUCGCAAGUUGGUAUAGGCUUAGGAGAGCACGAGCUAAGUUUAGGCUUAGAAAUUCGUAGCCAAACCCUAGGUGGUUCACCCGAGAUUAGGUCACGCGAGAGAGAGAGAGAGAGAGAGAGAGAGAGAGAGAGAGAUGUGAUCGUUAAGUGAGUGGUCUUCACGAAAAAGAGAGAACGGACAAAAACUCUUUGCUCUUGUAUGUCUGGAUGUGAGAGUGAUGUGUGAGAGUGAGAGAGAGACGACCCCAAGUCUUCCUUCCUUGUAGGGAGAGGGAGAGAGAGAUGUGAUUGUUAAGUGAGUGGUCUUCACGAAAAAGAGAGAACGGACAAAAACUCUUUGCUCUUGUAUGUCUGGAUGUGAGAGUGAUGUGUGAGAGUGAGAGAGAGACGACCCCAAGUCUUCCUUGAUUGUAGGGAGAGAGAGAGAGAGAGAUGUGAUCGUUAAGUGAGUGGUCUUCACGAAAAAGAGAGAACGGACAAAGACUCUUUGCUCUUGUAUGUCUGGAUGUGAGAGUGAUGUGCGAGAGUGAGAGAGAGACGACCCCAAGUCUUCCUUGAUUGUAGGGAGAGAGAGAGAGAUGUGAUGGUUAAGUGAGUGGUCUUCACAAAAAAGAGAGAACGGACAAAGACUCUUUGCUCUUGUAUGUCUGGAUGUGAGAGUGAUGUGCGAGAGUGAGAGAGAGACGACCCCAAGUCUUCCUUGAUUGUAGGGAGAGAGAGAGAGAUGUGAUCGUUAAGUGAGUGGUCUUCACGAAAAAAGAGAGAACGGACAAUGACUCUUUGCUUUUGUAUGUCUAGAUGUGAGAGUGAUGUGUGAGAGUGAGAGAGAGACGACCCCAAGUCUUCCUUGAUUGUAGGGAGAGAGAGAGAGAUGUGAUCGUUAAGUGAGUGGUCUUCACGAAAAAGAGAGAACGGACAAUGACUCUUUGCUCUUGUAUGUAUAUGUGAGAGUGAUAUGUGAGAGUGAGAAAGAGAGACGACCCCAAGUCUUCCUUGAUUGUAGGGAGAGAGAGAGAUGUGAUGGUUAAGUGAGUGGUCGUCACGAAAAAAGAGAGAAUGGACAAUGACUCUUUGCUCUUGUAUGUUUAUAUGUGAGAGUGAGAGAGAGAGACGACCCCAAGUCUUCCUUGAUUGUAGGGAUAUCCAUCUAGAAUUGAGCUGUUAAGCUUUUGUCCAUCUCUUCUUGCUUAAUAACCUUUUUCAUAUUGUUGGUUUAUCCAAUCCCUCUUUUCAUAUUGUUCUUCCAAUGACAAUAGUCUUUUUCAUUGCUCUAAUUUUGGCGGUCGACACCAAAGUUUUGGUUGUCGACUUAAAGUUAAGUUAUAUUGAAAAUUAUGGAUUAAUUUUUAGCCUCUAAAAAAAAAUUCCAUUAAAUUACACAGUAGAGCACAAGUCAACACCAGAGCACGGAGGAGGAGAAGGGACUGCGGGGGUAGCCUAAAGACUAGCUAGCGUGCUAGAGACUAAAGGGUGAAGGGUCUCCACCGAUUGACUCUUCUGUAGGUCGAGAAGCUUAUAAAGGAUGCUUUGGAUGCUGACUGGGNNNNNNNNNNNNNNNNNNNNNNNNNNNNNNNNNNNNNNNNNNNNNNNNNNNNNNNNNNNNNNNNNNNNNNNNNNNNNNNNNNNNNNNNNNNNNNNNNNNNNNNNNNNNNNNNNNNNNNNNNNNNNNNNNNNNNNNNNNNNNNNNNNNNNNNNNNNNNNNNNNNNNNNNNNNNNNNNNNNNNNNNNNNNNNNNNNNNNNNNNNNNNNNNNNNNNNNNNNNNNNNNNNNNNNNNNNNNNNNNNNNNNNNNNNNNNNNNNNNNNNNNNNNNNNNNNNNNNNNNNNNNNNNNNNNNNNNNNNNNNNNNNNNNNNNNNNNNNNNNNNNNNNNNNNNNNNNNNNNNNNNNNNNNNNNNNNNNNNNNNNNNNNNNNNNNNNNNNNNNNNNCUUGUCGGACUGGGCUAUCGUUGUCAGUAAGUCCAUGAGCGUUCCUUAGUCGCUUUAAGUUUGAGGAAUUUGGGCUUGUUUUAAUGUGGAGAGUUUGAGUGUGAUUUGGCAUUGAUAAUGGUGGGCUUAGUUCGGCUUGUUGAGUUUGGGUUUUAUUUGGUUGAGUGGGCUUGGAAUUUGUCCUGGUUGUGGCCGAAUUGCGCUUCAAUUGUUGAGCCCAUCCCUUUCUUUAGGCUUUUAUUCAGAGCAUGACCCGAAGGCCCAUGGUAGUCCACAUCUUGACUAGGCUCUAAGGCCCUACCCGAAUACGCAUCUUCGGAAUAAAAAAUUAUUAUUAUUUAAAAUAUUUUUAAAAUUAAAAAUUAAAAAUUCUCCGAUUUUUUUAAAUAUAUUUUUAAGUUAUGAUAAAGCUUAAUAAUUAGUUUUUGAGUAGUUGUCUCUUAAAAUAUGUGAAAGUCCUUGAUAAAUAGAUUGUGCUUUAUUAUAUUGUUAUUUGCAUAUUUCCAUUAUUUCGAUUGUGCACUUUUUAUAAUCUAUUUCCUUAGCCUAGUUAAGAAUACAUUUCUUGGACUCAUGAAUGCUGCAUGAAUACUUUAUUUGGUGGUUGAACAAGAAUUACCAAAAGGGCAUUAGUUGGCUAAUUAGUGUAAUUAAGUUUCCGACUUUAGAUUAUCUAGUUCAAAGUAAGUAAUCCUCCCAGUAUUUUACUUGAGUAUUUUACUUGGAUCCACCUUAAAUUGAUUAAUGUUGUGAUUUGUAUGUUAAAAACUCAAAACAUAAGUUGCGAAUUAGUAUAAGCUUGAGAGAGUUCGAGCUAGAUUUGAACUUAACAAUCCAUUAGCCAAAUUCUUAGCGGUCCAUCCAAGGAUAGGUCGCAACAAUUUUGCUAUGACCAUAUCUCAGAUUUAGGUUAUUAUACAAUUUAUCGAUGGUGAAGUCCAAAUUCCAUUAUUCUUAGAAACUUCAUUAGCUCAUUUAGGGUUAUGGCUGUGGAGACCCAAUAAUGUGGAGGCCAAUGAAAUACCCUUCAAGCCCUACAAAUCGGUUAAGUUCAAAUCUUCGGACCUAGACCCAAUAUUAUUUGCACGCUGUUGGUGAUAUCAUAUAUGUUAAAUAUAAAUAAUGGAAAAAAAUUGACCUAUUAAAGUGGUUACAAAACAAAAAUAUCAUAUAUGUCAAGCUGGAAUUCUAAUUUAGAUAGACGGAAUAAUAAUAUCUUAGGAUUUUUUAGGACAACAAUUGAACUGUACAAUCGUGGAAACUAAAAUAUUUGGCAACAUAGUCUACCCCAUUCAUUAAUAGGUGCUAGUAAAUUAGCAUAUCUAAGUCUCUGUUGAUGUUGACAAGUGUUUCACCCAUUCAACAUGGAAUUAUUCGAAAUAGAUUUGAUCGAAUUUGGAUUCAGAGUGUGAGGGUUUUGUACUUUGACUUGCUUUGGCCUAACAUGGCCUCUUUUAUCUCUGUUCCAUGUUAUAAAUCUAGACACCAAUUGCAUAAAAAUCGCAGCACAUAAAACAAAAGUUUAGACUCAGACCAAAUACUAAUGGUUCCAUGAGUGAGGUCGUGCACGAGACUUAGGCAAAACAUCAUCUUCUAUGCAUGUUUAAUCAAGUUAAUGUCGAGUCAUUGAGGGUUAUUUUAAUAUUGUCAACCAACGCAAUUAUAUUGGGCCCGCAAGUUUAGGAGAGCUUUGAAAAUUCCAAGUUAACUUUAAAUGAUGAAUUCUAAGCAUGUAAUUUCGUCAUUUACUGUCAACCCCCGAACUUCAAGCGUGCGAACAUCUCACAAUGGUCGAUUAAAAUGCAACUUCUCAGAGCGCGUCGCCGACUUGCACAUCCAAAAACAGCCUUAGGCUGAAGUUUGAGAGCUGUGCUGGGAUAUACAGAGGAAGAAAACCCUUACGUUACUCUUCAACUCAUACACCCAAUCACACCGACCAUCACCACUGUGCCACCGUCAAUCGCCCCUUUGCCACCUGAAUAGUCGAGAUUCUUUUUGUUCAAUAUGGAACUUUCAAAAGUUUGUUUAAUGAAACUAGGCUGUCCUUAUGAAAUUAGUUGGUGAGAUUGAAUACACGAGAAUUCGCUAGUUGGGUUUUGCGAUGAUGAUUGUUGCUCUUCUAGUCCAAUCAUAGCCCGCAUGUGUUAAGAGUAAUUAAAUAUAAAUCCUUCAACUAACAAUUUAAGCUUUUAAAACAAUUGAUAGUGGUUUUACAAAUUUUCUCGUUGUAUCAGAGCUAGAGGUCCUCAGUUCGAAUUUUUCUAAGCCUUGUUUGCUUACCUAAUUAAAUUUCCACGCUUAGAUAUUAGGCAAAAAGAUAAGACUAAGACUAAUUGUCACCUCAAGACCUUUAGGAAGAUGUACAAGAGGAGCUGCGGAACAAAAUCGAAAGGUCAAAAAGGACAUUAAUUGUCCUUAAUAAACAGAUAACUUCCUGAUGUACAAGAGGAGUUGCGGAACAAAAUUGAAAGGAUGAAAAGGACAUAGUUGUCCUUAAUAAACAAAUUACUUCAUGAUAUGUUAGUUGUCCUUAAUAAACAUAUAACUUCCUAAAUUACAAGAGGAGUUACGGAACAAAAUGGAAAGGUCGAAAAGGAGUUAGUUGUCCUUUAAUAAACAAAUAACUUCAUGGUCUAAUCUGCGGUUAUAAGAAAUGUCAUAUUAUCUAAUAGGACUAUGCUUAGAGGACGGUACCAUCACUUUCCAUGAAGUGACGGAGCUCUCCUCACCACACAUCCUAAAGUGUAAGAUUUUGGGAAUCGGAAUAUCAAAUUGACAAAUAUGUUGUCAAAAAUGUGUACAAUUGCCCUAUCGUAAAAUUGACCAUACAAAUUUUGAGCUUGUAUGAUGUCAACUAAUAUUUUGUGAAAUUUUCAAUUCAUCAAAUUGAUGAAAUCCCCUUUGAUCACUCAAUUCCAAACUUAGUAUUAAAUGAUAAUAAAUUAAAGACAAAUGAAAAACAGAGGCAAAUCAGAAGAGAGGAACUGGACGUAAAUAAAUAGUGGUGCUAGCAAUGGUAGCUGUAGACGCCGUGCAUAUGGAGGACGGCGAAAUGGUGGUGGGGUUGGGUUCAAAUGGAGGGAGGGCGAGGGUGUUGGGUGGCGAUGGAUGUUGCGAUGAGGAAGGAGAGGUGGCAACAGCGGAGACGAUGCUACAACCGACUCUUGCCGAAGCCAAUGCCUUUGUGUCAAAGUUAUCCCUCACCCUCACUAUCGAAGCUUGUGGUCGCUCCCUAUUUGUCUUCCAAUCUCCUUCUCUGGUACAAACUGCAUUCUGGAAAUUCAUUAAGUGCCUUCGUUCUCGCUAGGGUUCAGUGGAAGAGAAACUUUUCUUUGAUCGGAGCAAUAAUCUGAGAAAAUGUAUGGAGGAAUACAUAGCAUGGAGGAGACAAUAGCACGUGGGAUAUAUGUGGCUUUACAACAAGGCCAUUUUUGGCAAUUGAUUUUGUCAAUUUGAUAUUCAGAUUCCCAAAAUCUCACGCUUGAAAUGUAUAGUCAAGAGAGCUCCGUUACUUUGUAGGAACUGAUAAUACCAUUCUCUAAGCAUUUCUUUGUCUAAAAAUACCUAAGUAGAUAUGUUUUUGUGUUGUUCGCUUCUUGUUGAUAAUUUUGUCAAUCAACUUCUCAAAUCUUCUUUUGCUGAUAAUUUUCAAGUUGUGUUGUCAAUGACUUCAUUGGCAAUUUAUUGAUCCCUUCAAAUCGUGGAGGGUUUUGUUUUAUCAAUGAUUUCUAUUUUCAACAAACCCCACUCUUAUCUGUUAGAAUAAUAAAUAAAAAAAAUGAUUGUUGAAGAUUUGAGUAAGUUGAUUAUUGAACUAUGGAUUUGGUGUGAGAAGAAGAAGAAGAAGAUUGGGCACGGCUUUCAUGUAAGAUUGUCAGCCGAAUAAGAAAGUCAAAAGAAAAGGGACAACAUAAAUGAAGAGGAGGAGUCGCAAGAAAAAUUGGCCAGUAAAAAUUGUGGGCUUCGUUUGUCAUCUUUCAUUCAUUGCAUGGAUCAAAUAAAGAGGAAAGAAGGGUCCAUGAAGGCCCAUUAAUGCCCGCACAUGUAUGCGUGCCAUGAAAAAUGGAGUAUGGCGCCUCAGAUGGAUUAGGUCUCUCCAGGCAUUAAUGUUUUCCUUUUUGAUUCCAACAUCAUUGACUAGUCUAUCUUGUUGAUAAUAAUAAAAAUCUGGUCAUCUUUUGGUGUCAACAAUAAUGAAAAACCACUGGCCGCGGUGGCUCCACUGGAUAAGGCUCUGCUGAUCCUCAACGAAGAUGUGAAGGGUUCAAAACCCAGGGGAGGCGCUAGGUGUAUUAAGUGUGACUCAGGGGUGGUGGGUCCUCCUGCUUAAGUGUCACUUGGGGGUUUACGGCGCGGCUGUCGGCUGCAAGCCGGUUCCUCCAAAAAAAAAAAACAAUAAUGAAAAUAUGUGUCGAUACAUCUUAACGGGAACUAAAUUAGUAAAACACAUAAAUUAUAUUAUGUUAGUUUGAUUUAUGUCAAUGUUAGUAGGGUAAGUAAUCUUUUGAUUUGUUGUGAAUAAUGAAGAAUAGUGACAGAAUUUUGUGAUAAAAUGCGUUGCUAUCUACCCCCACCUCCCUUUUUAUUAUUAGAUUAGAUAAACACAUUUUACUUAGCUUUCUUGAGGCGAAAGAGACUGAUGCAAAAACAUUACGUGGAGAGAGAGAGAGAAAGAGAGGUUACAGAGAUCCAAGACUAAAAGUCAGCCGCCACAGUGCCCGUAAAUAAACAUGCAAGGGUUACGAGCAAUCGCCACUCCCACGUCGGAGACUGCAAAGAACGAAGCCAAGCUGACACAAACCGCUUUCUUCGUUCUUUCUCAAUGAAAAGCCACCAGUGUAUGUGUUUGCGUGAUCGAGUACCGAGUGUGUGCAGGCAAAUGUUCGUCAAACCAGCGAAAUAAAACAAAAUGAUCAACAAAUCGAUCAUAAUAAAGUAAAUAUGUGAAAAUAUGUCUUCUUCUUCUCCUCCUCUUUCUGAAGUAUGGCGCCUCAGAUGGAUUAGGUCUCUCCAGGCAUGUGCAGUUGAAUUGAUCAUGUUGGACGAGUCUAAGGAGUAAGUUCUUGCAGCCUCUUGAUCGCGCUUGGGUCGCUCCGUGGGCUGAAGGUUAAAAAUAGCUAGGUUAUCGAUACUUCUUUUACUUUUCUUAUCAUUACAUCUUCAAAUGGGAAUCAAACUUGGUAUACACAAACAACCCCAUCAAGAUCCAAGAGAUUCAAAUGUACUUAUGAAGCCCUGCAUCAAAAUGACAAAAACCCUUGAAAAGGAAAGGCCAUGGAGUUGGAGAGAGGGAUCAAACCAGCGUUCAAUUGAAACACCCAACAGCCAACUCAUCUCAAUGUGUCACCAUCCGGCACCACAUAAGCAUGUCAUAUCUCAGGCGCCCUCCCAUUCCUAUAUAAUUGGUAUCCAUUCUCAUAGGCCUUUCCCACUUGCACUACAGAUCCAUUAUAAUCCACACUGACCAGCACUCGCAGUUGUACUUGGCUGGGAGCUAGAAAACGAGACCACCGAGAGAGAGAGAGAGAGAGAGAGAGAGAGAGAGAGAGAGAGAGAGAGAGAGAGAGAGAGAGAUGAAAAUGAUGGAUAAAUAAUGACUUUGCAGAGAAAGAGAGCAACUGCAUCAACGGGCAAUCGUCCGCGUCCUACCUGGUGUGGAACGACUUGUCGGUGUCGGUCCCCGCUGGUUCCAAGAGGAAACUGCUAAACCAGCUCAGCAGGUACGCUCAGAUGGGUCGGAUCUUGGCCAUCAUGAGUCCUUCCGGCUCCGGAAAAUCCACUUUCCUCGACUCAUUGGCAGUAGGGGUGAGCGGGUUCAAGGUGGGUAGGGUCUAGACCUGGACCCUGUUCCCUACUCUGUUAUAACCGGUUCUCCUUUUUUGGACCAUAUUCCCUACCCUGUUUUCAUUGGACCCUGUUCCCGGCUGUUUUUCCGGUACGGGAACAAGGUUGACCCUGUUUAUAUUAGGCAGUAUUACAGGUAGGGUGGCAUAAAAAUAGUUUUUCUUCAGCCUUUUCCUUUUCCUCCUCAAUUAUCAAAUUCUCAUGGUGUCUCUCAAUGGAUCAUCAUCCUUAUAAUCCAAAAUCAAGAACUAAGAUACUUCUAACCAAUACAAACUUACAAGGGGAAUUGUCCCAAGGUAUGCAGAAGGCUCAAAAUGAAAUAUUUUCAAAUGGAAAGAUGAAAACUUUAUGAUAUCCUAGGCAAAGAAACUAUUUCUUUCCAAUGCAUCACGAAAAAAAAAAAAAAGUCAAAUCUUUGCAGUGUAAAAGAACAACGGUGAACAAUGCCACUAUAAAAGGGCAAAAUGCAGACAAUACCAUUAUAAAAAGAGCAGAACACAGAAAGGGCAGGACACAGCAGCCUACCCUGAGAAGCAACACUUGACAAUCUUGAGACUUUAUAUAAAAUUCAAUCUCAUGCCAACUUCAAGACCCAGAAAAAGAGACUCCAAAAGCAGAACCAUCUCUAUAAUUCUAUAAUUAUUAAUCAAGUAUACUGAGCAAUUGAAAACAGAGAUCCCAAUCUUUAGUGCUCCGCUUAAAAUUGCACAAAGGGCACUUGGCAAACUUGACCGAACUUAGCGUAAGCAUCGUCCCACAAAAGUUGCAAAACAAGAAAUCACGAUCUCAGGAACGCGCCAUGAGUUAGCCGGCAGAGGACAACUCAAAAUCAGAUUUUUUUCCCCUCCUCUGUUUCCCUUACAAAGGGCCGAAAGCACACAAAUUCAUACGAGGGUGUCGCCUGCAAAGAACCAUUCUAGAAAAAAUCAAAAUGUCUACAGGCUACUCUACUUCUUAGAACCCAACCCAUUUGAUAGCUUCAAAGGGAAGACAAGACUUACCCUAGCGUCGAUGUUGAAUCAGCGAGCCAGGCGUGGGCGACGGAGCAGAUUUGUCGGGCGUUGAGCAGAGGAGGACCCAGCAGCAAGGAGGUGGUGGUGCAGGGGGCUCGGACGGACGGGCUGAGGACGGAAUCGCGACAGGAACGGCGGCUUUUGGCGUCUGGUUGCAGUGGCGGUGGCACCCAGAGGUGGUGAGCGAACCAGUAGACGUCGGCAACGGGGCUCGAGCGAGGCAGCGGCAGCUUUGCGAACGGGGGCGGUGGUAGAUCGGCAGCAGGUGAGCUCGGGAAACAGCGUGCGGUGAGAUUUGCGGGUCAGGGGCGUCGGCGAGGCAACAGCAACAGGUGGAACGGCGAGAUCGAACGGAGGUAGUGUCGGCGCUCGGGUGCGAGCUUGGCGGGGGUCAGUAGCUUCGCGAUUUUGAGAGGGGAACGGCGGCGGUGGUGCGAGCGCAAGGGGUGCGACGAGAGCAGUAGAGGCGACGUCGGCUUCACGAUUUCGGGAGAGGAGCUCAGGGAAGUCUCUGGUUCUUUGCGUCUGCGGGUAAAGAUAGAAAGUAAGAAUAAAAUUAGGGUUUUGGGAUGGCGUAAAAAUCGGUUCUCCAACCGGUUCCCAAACCGGUCUGGUCAAUCCGGUUCCCGGGUGGGUAAUCCCUCGGAAUCGGUUCCCGGACCGGUUUUAACCAGAACCCGUUCCCGACCUUGUUUUCCGGGUGGGCCGGACCGGGAACCGGGUAAACCCGGUCUGGUUGCACACCCCUAAUUGGUAAGUUUCUCCACUUCCCUCUGCCAACCUCCUCAUUUCGGAACAUUUUCUUGCAACAAUAUAUCCAUUUACUUGGCCUUGUUUUAUUGCAUAUUUGUUUGUGUUAUUAAAAAGUCCACCGCCGGUGAAAUCCGAAUUCCACCUUCAAAGCUUUACGUACGAAACUCCUAGUGAUACCGAUACGGUUACCGAAAGAUCAAGACAACAAGCAUUGCCCAUAUGUGGAAAAUAUAGCAACUUAAUAUAGUCACCAAAAUCAUUAAUAGCAUCGAAAAAAUUGCAAGAGGCUACGAUGAUAACCCCUUUCCAUUGCCAGAUCUGGCAGUGUAGAAACGAAAGUGCAGCAAACUGUAUAUUCUCAUAUGAAUUGGGUCUCCCAUGUAUAUUGAUGCUAUUCUCUAUCAAUAUCUAUUAUGUACAGUUAAACUCACUUAAAAAAAAUACAGCUUAUAGAAGUAAAUUAGUGAUGAUAUAAUUAUUUUUGUAACUAAUAAAUUCACUUGAUAUAAAUUCUAAUAGCAUAAUAAAAUUCUUAUAAAAAAAAAUUAAAAGAUGAAUAGUAUUUAAGUGUAACUAGCUCAUAGUUAUAUCAUUUCAUCUGGCUUGAUAUCAAAAUCCUUUGACAUUGAGACGCAAACAUACUCUACAAUGAUUUUGUCUCUCAUUUAUAUUGAUGUUAUUCUUUUUCUUUCUUGAGUUAUAAUAUAUAAUUGAAAUUAUGUCAUUAGAAGAAGAGAAUAAAAUUAGCUAACGAAAAAAAAUUAAGAAGAUACAACUCUAAAAUUUCCAGUAACUAAUAUCAAUAUCACUUGGGAGUUUCCAUAUAUGGUGCACUGAAAGUGGGAUUCGGAUUCCACUAGCAGAGGACAUAGAAUAACUCUGACUUGUUCACCAUGGUUUUAAAAAAGAAAAGAAACUCUUGAUUUGAUCAGCAAGACCAAAUUAAUGAUAUCAUAUGCUAUGAUAACAUAGCGUAUUUUUGUUACACCCACGUAAGCUUGAGGGUUUUGGUGACAAAAAAAGGUUUUUGAGUAUUGAUUUAAUAGUGGGCAUAAUUUAAAAUUUUAAUUAGUUGCAUGCCCUUUGUAAGGCACAUGUUUUGUUAAUUUGUAAGAUGUUUGUGAUUUAUGUUAAUGUCCAAACUAUUGAAAAACCUACAAUCAAGUCAAAGACAAACGCAACCAUUGGCCACUCUUCCCACAUGGGAAGGGGGAGGUGAGGAGUUCGUAUCUCCACCUUCUCAGGUGGGAUUAGGUGAGGACAAUUUAGCUUCAAGUUCGGAUUUUAACUCUCACGCUCUGCAAAGAUGUGAGGCAAAAAUCUAAGAGUGAGAGUUAGAGUAGAAAUAAAGUAAUACAAAAAAAAAAAAAAAAUCAAAGACUAGGCACAUGUAUGAAGCAUCAACUACUUUAUUUACUAUUUGAGUCGUAUGUCCGUGAAAGGAGUGCCAAUUCAUCAAAUCGAGAGAUUAUUGAAGGUCAAGAUAAGCAAGGUGGCUGUAAUGAUGAAUAAGAAAGUUGGGACUUUUUUCAUGAUCUAAUCCUCUUAAAAAUCACCACUCCCUAAAAAAUCUCCAACUUUAUAUUUACAUACUAAUUUUGCCUCGAACUUAAAAAAUUUAUAACUUUCACUUUAGUUUCAAAUCAACUUCACAUCCCAAAAUCGCCACUAGUUUUUUUCUCAUGUCAUCAAUAUUGGAGGUUUUUGUCAUUCCAUAUGAAGGUGAGGGUGUUUAAGAAGACGUGAGUUCCGAUUGUAAACCUCUAACUAGCUUUAGUAUUGAAAAUUUCAAAGAAAAUAGUUACUUUUUCUGAACGUGGGGGCAAAUUUGCGACUACGGUGAAAUUUUGUGUUUUUUUUUUAAAUAUAAAAGAAGUCUGGGCCAUGAUAAUUGGGGGUUUUCUAGAGAAUUAACCUCGUUUUUUUUUUUUUUUUGUCAUGUUCUUAUUAUGGCCCAAUUUUUUUAUUUCAUAAGAAAACCACAAAUCAAUGGUACCCCAAUCCAGUAGUUUUUAUCCAAUGACGUCCAAGAUUCGACCCACCAUUCCAUGUGUACUUAGCAGAAUCUUAAUGAGGGUCAGAUGUGGGUGCCAAAUGAAAUUGGUAUUUCAUUAUGGGACUGAAAAAAUUUGGACUAAAAUUAGGCCACAAUUUGAAGUUAAUGUCUUUUUAUGAGAUAAAAUAUAUGGAUCAAGGCUUUGAUCCAAAGCCAUUAUUUCUCAAUAUUUUUCUAGGAGAGAAGAAAUUGAGUCAACAUUGAGAUUCAAGGUAAAGUUGAUGCACUUUAAAAGGAGUCGCGCUAAAUGAAAGCACCUUUACAGAUCAUGGCCCGGAGACUUUCCUGAAUCCGAGGUUGACCGGUCCACUUUAUCCCUAGGAUUGACAAGACAACUUCAAUUUAAAGGGACUAUUUGGUUGCUUGUAGUUGAUAUGGGACAAGAAUAGUGUAGAUAGAGACAAUUAUGGCUUAUGCAUUCCAUAUUUUAGGUGCAUAAUUACAUUUACUACAUAAGUACGUAUACACCAAGAAAUAUGUGUUUCAACCAGUUAGUAGCCACUUUAGUUGACUACUUACUAUGUUUUGCUUUUUAGCAGGUCGGAUUUCUUCUGAUGUCAGAAAAGAGGAAAAUAUUUCCCUAAGUGGGAGGAAGAAGGGGUUCCUAAACCACAAUGAUCUGGUAAGCAUAUCAAAGUCCUUAGGCAUAAAGUUAGCUUUUGCUGUAAAUUAUUUGUUGGGGCAGAUUUAAUAUAACAAAGUAAAAUAGAUUAUGAGACGAGUAUCUUGACUCUUGCGGAAGAUAAUUCUCUUUAUUUUCAGGAUUACUAUCAUUAAAAAUUUCAAAGUGGUAUUCCAUGACAUAUCCAUCCCAAAAGAGUUUUAUUUUCCCACAAAUCCCCAACUAUUCAUUCGAUUAACUAAAAGGAAACUUUAGUCCAGUAAUUCUUAGAUCAUCAUUGGAAAAACAAGAUUGCUUCCAUCAGCUCAAUCCUAGCAAUAGUUUCGGUUUGGCAUACUACUCUGACCAGUGACCUCUAAAAUGGAGCAUCACUAGGCCACUCUUCUGUCAAUUUUGUUUCAUGAAGCAUUCCUUUAGCCUUCAAAAGAUUAAAUCAUAUUUUCAACUUCCUCUAAUUCAAUCUAGUGGUUUAUGUGUAUGACUGGACGAUAUUCUUAUAAUCAAAAUUUGGCAAAAAACAAAAAAAUAGUCAAAAAAUUUGGCUGGUUGGGCCAUGUUUCUCCUUUCUGAAAUUUGAGCUUGUAAACUGACAAAUAAAUUUCUUUCUAACGAUUGAUGUUUCAAUUGGGGUCCCAUGCUUGCAUUUAGAUGUGAGCAUAAUUUUAGGAUUGAAUUGGGAAUUAGAGAACUGGACCGAUCAAUAAUUCGGUUCUAGGUUCCAAUGCACCCUAAUUCGGUUCCAUUUUUUUAGGAACUGAUAAUUCUUGAGGGAAUUGGGAACUGAGAAUCAAACAGAUAACUAGGGAAAUCGAGAAAACCCUAAAGAGAGACUUUUACUUUUUGCUGAUAAGAGCUUAGAUGUGCUUAUAGAGGGGUUUAUAUUAUUUUUUCUUGUAAUCAAUAACAAUCAAUGUGCAUGAGGUCAUCAAUAGUUGAAAUAAGGGUUACUCCUAGGAAGAGUUAUAAUUCUCUACUAAUAGUCACUUAUAAAGUUCUAAUAAAGGAAUUAGACCGAGACUUUAACAUAAAAGGUUUUCAAAUAUUAGCUGUUGGAUAAAGCGGCACUAAUGUCAAAUAUUGCACUAAUUUUCCAAGACCAUUAGAUCUAUUCUAGUUUCAUUUCCUGAAAACAAACAUAUAACAAUUGUGUCUUGUUGUAAUUCAUAUCAUUCUAUGUUGUUCAUAGACUGAAUAAAUUACCCUACAUAGCAUUAUCUAGUGGGAAUAUGCAAUGGCGAGUAUCAUACUAUCACAAAAUUUCACAUGGCAUUCAAUAUAUUCAAGGUACUUUUGUUGUGCCCAUUAAAACAAAACUGGAAUCCAUGGACCUUUUGCUCUAUAAGACCGUAAAUAUGAUGAUUAGUUUGGUCAUGAUCUUCAUUGGAUAUUGGCCAAAGCUUAUGUUAUCACUUGUUAACAUGUAUGUCGAUAAUCUAGAUUUUAAUUUCUCGCUUGGUUUAAUUAUAACACCUUCUACUUAUAUUCUAUUAUUGAUGUGUAUGUGUGAAAUUGAUGUAUAUAACAUGUCAAUGGAGGUGGAAGGAUGUGAGGCAAUGACUUUCAUUACGUGUGAGGGAUGUGGAUGAUUGAUGACUAAAAUUCAAUAACUUAGGUUUCGUGUUUUGUGUUUUGAAAUUUUUAUUAUUUAUUUUAUUUUAACGUUCAUCUUUUAUAGAUUAUUUCUAUUGACAAAUGAAAAACUGUCAUUUUUGCUUUUGCAUUCACUGGGCCCGUUUGGUUCGGUUUUGGGAAAAUGCCAUUGGGAAAAUGCAAAUACUUUUAAGAUAAAAGGGUUUUCCGAAAUACUACACUGCUUGGUAAACUAUAACUGAAAAGUGUUUUAGGGAAAUGCAAGACGGUUUAGUAAAUGUAUAUUUGAAAAGCCCUUUAGUGUAAUCAAAUUAAAUUUUUUAGUUUUAGUAUUUUUAAAAUUGUAAAAAAAAAAACAAUGACUAUAUAACCUUUUACAUUUUCAUGUUGAGAGUAAUGUAAAAUAUAUAUAUUAGUAAAUUUAUUUAAAAAUUAUAUUAAAAGAAUUUGAUUAUAGAUUAAAAUGCAAAGCUCAACUUUUGGCCUAGAAUUCUUUUAGGUUUGUUUUCAACUUUGAAUAUUUUUUUUAAUUAUUGUAGUAUUAAUCAUCUUCGUUAAUUAAUGAUCAUUCUAGUGUAUGGAUAAAAGUUAGGUUAUUGAUUGUCAAAAGAUAAAAAUGACAAAAAAAAAAGGCGAACCUAACAUUUGCAAAGAGUUUUUUUUUUUAAAUAUAAAAAUAAAAUCCGAUAAAACUCCGUUGCUGAUCAACGGUGGUUGGGGUGUAGGGAAGAUGAUCGGUUUAAAUAAAAUAAAAUAAAAUAAGUCAACGGAUGAAUAGUAGAGGUGGACUUACAUUUCCGAAAUGCCGAAAGCCCAAAGCAGGUCCCCAUCUGCUUUGGGCUUUUAGCAUUUCAAAGGCCAGCAUUUGGCCAAAAAGAUACCUCCAAAUGAUGAGCCAAAUACCUAAAAUUUUUUUCAAGGGAAAGUCCCUUGGAAAUGCUAAACCAAACACUGCCCCCCCCCAAAAAGAAAAAAAGAAAUGAAAAAGAACAUGUUAGACCAUAAAACCAAUCUUAGAACCUAUGACAAGACAAGUUACAGGUUCCACGGUAUACAAGACGAGUUUUAUGUUUAAAAUAAGGGUUAAUACCUUGAAAAACCCCAAACUGGUACACUUAUAACAAAUUCACCAAAAACUAUUUUUUUGACCACAAAAAACCCCAAACUGGUAUACCUUUGACAAAUUUACCCCAAACUGAUACACUUGUGACAAAUUUACCCUAUGUUAGUUUUCGUUAAAUUUUAUUCUCAAAUUAUUAAGUUAAAUGACACGUGACAGUUAAUCGGUAUACCAAUUUAGGAUUUUACGCUCCGUUUGUCACAGUUUACAAUUUUUGUGAUUUUUUUGUGAUAUUAAUCCAAUUUAGCAGAAUGUAUAUUUGUCACAAAUUUACCAGUUUAGGGUUUUUUGCAGUAGAAUAAAUUAAUUUGCGGUAAAUUUGUCAUAAAUGUACCAGUUUAGAGUUUUUUAUAGUCAGUCGGGGUAAAUUUGUCACAGGUUUACCAGUUUAGGGUUUUUCAUGAUCAAAAAAAUAGUUUGGGGUAAAUUUGUCACAAGCGUACCAGUUUGGGGUUUUUCAAGGUAUUAACCCUUAAAACAAUGGGGAACCUAUUUUAAUGGGUAGGUUCUAGAUUUCAAGUGGAAUCGUGACUACUCACCCCUACUUAAAUCUUCUCAUUUUGGCACUUUUUCAGUCCUAUGUGACCCAAGAAAAGAUUUUCUUGGGUCCUCUCACUGUCAAAGAGACAAUAGCUUCCACAGCUCAUUUGAGGCUUUCUUCCUAAAUGACAAAGCCAAGACCGACGAGGUGGUAGAAGCAAACAUAAAGGAGAUGGGACUUGGAGACUGCGCAGAGAACAAGAUUGGUAACUGGCACUUGAGGGGCAUAAGCAGUGGAGAAAAGAAAAGACUCAGCAUCAGUCUUGAAAUGGUGACAGACCCGCUGAUCUUGCUCCUUGAUGAACCUACCACAGGCUUAGACAGUGCCUCGGCUUUUUUCGUGGCAAGAGCUCUAAGAAAUAUUGCAGAUGAAGAAAGAAUAGUUAUUUGCUCAAUCCAACAGCCCAGCAAUGAAGUUUUCGAUCUUUUUGAUGAUUUACUCCUUCUAUCAAGUGGAGAAACUGUGUUUCUAGGAGAAGCCAAAAUGGCCAUUGAGGUCAUAAAGAGUCAACACUUCAUUCUUACUCAGACAUUUUGGCUGUGCAAAAGCAAGAUAAUGUAAUUUUAAGUCCUAGUGCAGUUCUUUGCAGAUGCUGGAUUUGCUUGUCCGAGGAGGAGAAAUCCCGCUGAUCACUUUCUGCGGUGCAUUAACUUAGACUUCAAUUCUGUAACUGCUACUAUUGCUUUCUCAUAGAAACUAUGUUGAGUUUUAAAUCGAGCACUUCUAUACUCUGCAUCAGUUCUUGUGAUAUGUAAAGUGACUUCUAAAUAUAAUUAUCAGGGCUUGCUAUUUUAUCUUGCAGCAAACUCUAGCAUCAUCUAGUUUUUCAAUGAACAUGAAAACAGCAGAGAUUAAAGCCACACUCAUCCAAAGUUACAAAUCCUCAAAGUAUUCAUGCAAAGUUAGGAAAAAAAUGCAAGAAAUUGCAGCUACUGUAAGCACUCCAACUCAGAAGAAAUAAAAAUCAAGAUAAUGCUUAUGCAGUCAUUUUUCCUGUCUUUCCGGCUUACCAUAGUUAAUGAACAAUGUCUCCAACUGUGAUUUUUGAAACUAACGGAGUUACAUCUAUGUUGAAGUAGCAAUUUCCAGAACUGAUGUUUUCAAAAUUGAAUCUCUUCUGUUGAAUGCUGAAGGAUUAUCAGGUCUGCCAGUUGAAUAAGAAUACUAAUUCCAGCAAGUGGAAGCAGCUCAGGGUUUUGACUCAUCGGUCCUUCAUCAACAUGUAUAGGGACAUUGGAUACUCCUGGUUGAGGAUCAUGCUCUACGUUUUAUCAUCAAUAAGUGCUGGAACUCUAUAUUUUGACAUUGGAUACGACAAUGGGGGCAAUAAUCAACAGAGGAAAGUUUGUUUCAUUCCUCUUCGGCCUCGUGGUAUGUUUGUCUUGUGGUGGUGUCCCUUUCUUCAGUGAAGAACUGAAGGUAUAGCAAAGCAUCAAGGCUGAUCGAUUUUCAGCUAUUAUAUAUCAGCAGUAUCUUCAUACUUGAGGUGAUAUUAGAAUGAUUUGUUGCUAGGACUAGAACUAAGUUUCCUCUGCAGGACAGACAAGCGCCACCAUGAUAGGUGUGAAGUUGCAUGUUGAAGCCUAAGACGCUGUAAAUAACACAAAUUUCUAAACAUAAAUUGGUCCCAGGAAUUAAAAAGUUACUAAAGGCACCCGUAGAAGUUAACACAAAAUGUGAUGAGGAAAUUCUCACCAACAAAGGAAUCCACCGUAGGAUACAGGACAGUAAUUUUCACGAAAAAAAAAGUCUUUUAAUUGAGAAAUCUGCUCAAAAUCUCGACAGGAAUAGUAAUUCAAGAAAUGAUUAGAGCAUGAACCCUACUUAUUAAAAUCAGCAAAAACAGAAUCAAGAGAAGAUUAAGAUAUUUGAAUUGUCCCCUAUUCCAUUCUUUUCCAAACUCACCAUGUAAGGCAAAGAGUAGGAGCAUUUUGGGCUGACUUGAAAUGUAGAGGAGUAUGGGGAAGCAUGACAUGAUUGUAGAACCAAGAUCGCAAAAUUAGCUGAGAAACUACCAAAACAAAGCAGUCGAAGCACCUCCUGCCCCAAGAAAGUUAAGAAGCAUACCUGCUAGAGACUCCCAAACUAUAGGAAGGUUCUUAAUCCACAAGCUUGAUCCUCCAGUGUGGAAUUUAUUCAGAGCAACUCUUAACAAGUUUGCAGCAGUCAUGACAGUGUCCACCGAGUUCUCUUUUGAAGAAACAUAAGAAGCAAGAGAAGUGAUGACAUUUUCUAUCUCUUGAACAGUAUCUCCCACUGCUAGAGUUUCCAAUAAUGCCUCGAUGAUUUUAAGAAUCAGUGUUGUAAGCGCUGAGAACCCGAGACUCAUAAGCUUGUCUAAUUCUGAAAGAAUCUGAAUACUUACUUUGGCAGACAGACACGGACAAACAGAUACCAGCACAUUAAGCAUAUGUAAGAAUCCUAUAUUCUCGGAUUUCAACAGUUUAUCAUCUGUAGAUCCAUCCUCAGGACUCGUAGUCCUUGACCAAUCUGCUGAAGAAAUGCAACUUUCAUUUCAAGACAUUCUUGUGCACAUCGCCGAACCUGAGAAAACAACAAAACAUAUCUUCAAUUGCUACUCAUUUCUUACGAUAUGCAAAAGAAUAGGAACACAUUUCCACCUUUCAAAGCCCAAUUACGAUCAACAAGGCCAUAAGGGGAAGAAUACUGACCUAAAAAAGGUGACAAUUCCAUGUCGCAAAGUCUAACAAAAAAAAAAAAAAUCCCAAAGAGCUUAAAAGAGCAGAACUUGAUGCGGCAAUGCAUGAUUUGCGACAUUAUACCUUAGGACGCUUGGCCAGGGAGAACUUCAAAAGCGUCUUCAACCCGAAUUUCACCGAAUCCCAAUCCUCCAAGUCGCAAAAGCCAAGCAAAACCCCCAAACACUUCACCGCGGACCUCACGCUGGACACGGCCAGCUUCUCCUCCUCCCUCGCCAACACCUCCGCCAACACCUCCGCCGCCUCCCUCGCCCUCGCGGGCGCGAUCCCCUGCGGCGCCACCGCGGGCAGGACGAUCACGAGGAACGAAAUGAGCGCCGCGACCUCCGUGGAGUCCAGGGCCUGCAACGAGGAGGUGGUCUCGACGGCGGACAUGGCGGCGCCGAAGUAAGAGGCGGGCGUGAGGGGGAGGGACUCGACGUCGAGGAUGGCGCGCAUGGCGGCAGCGGUGGCGAGGAGGUGGCGGUGCUGAGGGGCGGAUGAUUUGGCGUAGCGGUCCAUGAGCUGUUGGCAGAUGUCGGCGCCGUCUCGCAGGGGUUCGUCGGCGUGGUCGUGCUCCAUCUGUUGAUCCUGUUGAAGCAACGAGGGUCGCUCUUCCUGUUUCCGUUGUCUGUGCUUCUGUGGCUUCAUGGCGGCGGCGGCGGCGGCGGCGGCCCAUGCUUCGUUAUUUUCUUCGCAUUUGAUCUAUAUUGCUUUGCAAAGAACAUUUUCUGAUUACAUUGAUUAGGUUUGCCUUGUCCCUAGUUCCUAUCAUGUAACUCAAAUUUCAAGAAAAUACAAUGGGUUAAUCUCACCAAAAAAACUCAAAUUAUGCAGGUUGCAGCCCAAAUACUCUGAAUUUUUUUUGCAUCACGAAAGAUCUUAAAUUUAUUUUUUAUGACAUAUAUAUCUUAACUUUUUAUUAUGUCAUAAAAAACCUCGAAAUUAUAUUAAUGUAACAAAUAUAUUAUAACAUAAUAAAAAACCUUGAAAUUAUAUUAAUGUAACAAAUAUAUUAUAGAUGGAACUUAAAUAGAAAACAUAUAUAUAUAUAUAUAUAUGUUACACAUGUAAAAAUUUGGAUUUUUUUGUGACACAAAAAAAUUGAGGUAUUCAUGUUGCUAUGGACAAAUUUAGGGUUUUUUGUGACAUAAAAAAAUUAUAGAUAUUUAUAUCACAAUAAAUAUAAUUUGGGGGCAAAUCAAAUUUAUGGAGCAAAAGUGGUACUUCUAUCUUUUCCUUUCAAUCAUUAUUAUUUUCUUGUUUUAUAAUUAAAAGGUGUUAAGAUUUCAAUGAGAAGUUUUCCAUUUUCAAAUGAUCCUAAACAUGCAAUGACUAGAUGACGAAAUGACCUAAUUCUAAGUUACAUAGGCAUGAUAUUUUUUAUUUCUUCUUUUUCCUUUUUUAAUAGAAUUCGAAAUUAAAAUUGCCUAAUAAUUGAACAUACAAUUAAUGAAAAGAAAAUCUAAUAUCCUCAAUUAAUGUUUUUGGUGUUUUUAUUUCAAAAAUUCGGAAUAAAUAAAAUGACUAAUCUAAAAAUGCAAAUUAUCUUAAAACAAGCAAUAUUCUAACAUGAACCUAAUCUAACUCAAAUAUAUAUAUAUAUAUAUAUAUAUAUAUAUAUAUAUAUAUAUAUAUAUUUGGGUUUUUCUUUCACAGAAAUAAAAUCGAUUCAAACAAUACAACGGCAAAUCAAGCAAGAUAUGAUUGAUAUCCACCAAAUAAAUUGAUAAAUCGUAUCUCACGCAUGAGAUCGGAUUAGCCAAUUUUAACAAAAUCUUGAGCGUGGGAUUGGAUUGCCAAUUUUUUCGUGUGAUUGCAAGUCAUGUUCCAGGCGUUAAAUCAAAUUGUUAAUUAUAUGCACGUUGUGAAAUUAAGAAAUGAAAUUUUCGGAAAUCAAAAUAGAUAAUAUUUUCACAUAAUUUGAAUAUUGGCUUUCGAAUUCUGAUCCUCAAACGGUUACUCGUGACGCAAUGAGGUGGUGCUCAGCGAGGCUCAUAGGAUGGCUACUCGCCAGGGGGCUUUGUGUGCGGCUCCUUGAUGAUUGCUCGAUUCAACGAUAUGCGCGUAAACCACAAUGGGGGAGAUGCUCCAAAUUACAAUAAAAUAAGCGUGCGAAAUCCUCCCUCCUUUCAAUGUAUACGUCCUCCUCUAUUGAAAGAACGUGUGCCCUUCUGUUGCCAAGAUUUUAGUGACUCGGAUGCUUGCUGAAUUUUGACCGAGCUCAAUCACCUCGCUGGAAUUCGUUUGGCAACGCGAGUAUUGGUGCAAAUCGUCUGGGCGCGACGAAACAAACCCGAGGAUCGGGCUGAUUGGGAUGGGUGACAUGAGCAGUGGCUGCUGGCGUUGCGGUAGCAACGAGGUCGUGGCCAGGAAACAACCAGCUCGGUUCACGGAUGCGGGGCAGCAGCGAUGGCGGCGUUCAGGUAACAGUCGGAACAGCAACUACGAGGGGCGGAGUUGCAGUGACGUCAUCGAUGAAGGGGCUGCGGUGGCGUCGUCAAGCGGUCGAGUAAUAACUCAACAGGGUGGCAGGGCAGCUCGUUGACAAUGUAUCGCAGACGAUGAAAGCACCGCGGCAGAAGUGUUGGCAUGGGUCUUGGCCAAGAAGACUCGCGCUCUUCCCUCUCUCACGUGUCUCUCUCUCUCUCUCUCUCGUAUCAAGAAUGCCUCCCUUUUUUUUUUGUCCUGUAACGAGUCCAUUUAUAGUGAAAGGGUGUAAACCAUCGGGGAAACUUUCCUUCUGUGCAUGCUUUGAAAAAUAUUCUAUUUCCUUUCCUCUUCUUCAUUGACCGAAUGACUUCUUUGCAGGGAUAUAACUUUUUUCGCAAAUCCAUGUGCCCGUAGUGUAGAACGUGCCCAACAUUCCCUUCUCAUGCUGAUCUUCCGAGUUUCAAUAUGCUCGUAUCUUUCCACAUAGGGCCAUGCAUGAUGAAUAAUCUCCGCCGAUUCUUUUUCUUUAACCCAAAUACUAGGCCACAAAUUGAUCGAGUAUUGCCAAAAAUUCAAAAUUGUAAUAGACUUUUCCUAAAUUCCGAACCUUGCAAAGAUGAACUUGCAAUAUCUCCUUCCUAUGCUUGUCCUCACCAAAUAUACGAAAGAUUCACCGAAUAUUGGAAGAAUAAUAUAAAUCUUUUCCAAAAUAUAUCGAAUUGCCAAUUCGUAAAAUUGGAGCUCAUCCGUCGCCGAUCAAAUGCAAAAGUGAUAAACAAAUAGAUAAAUGCAACAAAAAUUAUAUGCUAUGCAAUUUUAAUUCUAUUUUUUUAAAGGUUAAAAAUUAAUCCCUAAUUUUCUAUGCAAUAAAUGGAUGACCAGAUUGCCAAAAUUUAGGUGUCAAUAGCAGACUACGACAUGACAUUGCUUCCUUAAAGAUGACCUUUUAAUUACUGUUUUUUUGGUCAAAAACCUUUUAAUUGCGCCUUUUUUAUUACUGUUGGCACGGUGAUUUUGGAACUCGACAAUGACUGCCCAAUCAACCAUGCAACAAGGGGACAAUUUCUACAACGAGAAACACGCAUGCAUGCAGUGACUAUGGGAGUCUCCGGAGACAAUUAUACGUUCCUACCGACACUAAGAAUCCGAUCUCCAUGAUUGGCAAUUUGCUUUUGCAUGGAAAAAAAUUUGCUUUUGCAUGGGAAAAUUGUCCAAAAAAUUCUAAGUUGAUUACACUUUUACCAAUUUAGUCCUAGAUCUUUUAAUUUGUAAAUUGAGUUCUAAACAUUUUUACUUCUUACCAAUUCAACUGUAAACCUUUUCAUUUUUUGCCAAUUAAACAAUCCGGCCAAUUUUGACUGAAAAUUACUAACAUGAAUAGCCAAUGCUGACGUGGUACUUUUUUAAUAAUAUUUUGAAUAUUUUAUGGUUUUCUUUUUUGCGACCUCGCCCGUGGCUAGCAAGAGUUGGCUGGCAACUCUUGUCUACCCUGGAUCUAAAAACCCAAAAAUAAAGCAAAAAAGUUUUUUUUUUAAAAAAAGAAAAAAGAAAAGAAAGAGAAAAAAUCAUCUAGAAUGGUGGAGUAAAGCUUUUGUCCAACUCUUCAUGGAGAGCAAGAGUGAGAGCAAGUCAGAGACAGAGAUUGAUGUCUGAAAGUGAGAGAUAGAGAGAGAGAGACAACCUCAUGUCUUCCUCCAAUGUAGGGAUAUUCCAUUUAGAAUGAAGUAGUAAAGCUUUUGUCCAACUCUUCUUACCUAAUUUUUCUCUUCUAGGGACAAUAGUCUUUUCUAUUGCUCUAAGUUUGCUAUGACCAUGUCUCAGAUUUAGAUUAUUAUACAGUUUAUUGAAGGCAGAGUCCAUAUUCCACGAUCCUUGUAAACUUCAACAGCUUAUGAAGUUGUCUAAAAAAUAACUAGAUUCACUUUUUUUGGGACAAAUAUGUUUCCCCUCUUUCUUUCGACUUCAAUUGUAACAAAUUACUAUUCUUUUAAAAAAUAGUCAAGGGCUACGGCCACCAAGACCCGAUUAUGUGGAGGCCAAUGAAAUACCCUACAAUCCUACAGAUUGGUUAAGUCCAAUUCUCCGCCCCCUGACUUGAUAUAGUUUGCGCGCCAUUGGUGGUAUCAUAUAAGUUGACAUAAAUAAUGGAAAAAGUUAUCCUAUUAAAGUUGUUAAAAAAAUAUAUAUACAUAUCAUAUAUGUCGAGUUUGGGAUCUAAUGUCAAUGGACAAAAUAAUAAUAUCUUAAGACUUUUCAAGACAAUAAUUGAAUUGUACAACUGUGAAACUGAAAUAUUUGGCACCAUGUUCUAUCCCGUUCAUUAAUGAGUGCUUGUACAUUAGCAUAUCUAAGCAUAUCUAAGUCUCUAUCGAUGUUGAUAGAUGUUUCACCAAGUCAACUAUACAACACUCUUUUUUUAGAUAAAAUUACCAAAGUAAGUUCUAAAUCGAUUGUAUUUGUAUCAAUUAAGUCGUAAAUUUUUCAAUUAUACCAAUUCAAUUCUAAAAAAAUGUGGAUUUUUUUUAAAUUUCAUAAAUUAUCUACGUGAAUUGAUAUUCGUAUCAACAAUUUUCUAUCAAAAUUAGCCAGUGAAUUUAAUUGGCAAAAUUUGAAAAUAUUUAGGACUCAAUUGAUAUAGUUGAAAAUUUUAUGAUUAAAUUGACAUCGGUGCUAUAUAUAUAGACACAUGCACAACUGUCUUUGUUUUUGGCUCCUAGAGAAGUCCAAUACUUUUUAAACUCAAAUAUUUAAAAAAUUAUAAAAAUAUUAUAUGAGAACUAUUGUGGCAAAUGAAAUUUCAAGUGCUUGUAAUUUUUUUUGAAAGUCCAAUUAUGUGCGUAAAUAUUGAAAGAAACUUUUAACUUUUUAAAUAGUCAUCGUCGAAAGAGGCUGAAAUUUUCCAAUUACAGGACGAGUCAUGGAAACCUAGCGAGGAGGGGUUUUGUACUUUGACUUUGCUUUGGCCUAACAUGGCCUCUUUUAUCUCUGUUCCAUGUUAUAAAUGUGGACGCCAACCGCAGAAAAAUCAAGGCACGUAAAACAAAAGUUGACUUGGACCAAACAAUAAUGGUUCCACGGACCACGUCAUGCACAAGACCUAAGCAAAACAUAAUCUUCUAUGCAUGUCUAAUCAGAUUAAUGUCAAGUUUUUGAGGAUUGUUUUAAUACCGUCAAUCAACGCAGUUAUAUUCAACACGCAAGUUUCAGAGCUCUGAAAAUUCUAGGUUAACUUUAAGUAAUGGAUUCUAAGCAUGGAAUCUUGUCACUUACCUUGAAAUCUUCCUUGACUACAAGAAAUCAUGUAGAUUGGAACAAUUUUCCAUUGUAUGUUUCACUACUUUUGAAAUUUUGAAAGCUAUUAUUUUUUUAACGAUUUUCGACCGUCAUCAAUUUGUAACCAUUUUUAUCUGCCAUUACUUUAUUACAAUUUUAUACUUCUAAUGGGGUUGGAGUAAAUCUCUUAAUUAGAAAAAUAAGAAAAUAGUCAAAUCUCAAUCACCUCUCCUUUCGAGCUUCUAAUUAAAGAUAAGAGAUUUCUCAAGCCCUAAUUAGUCAACUGGGCUAUUAGAGAUAUAUUUAAAAUAUUCUAUGAUUCUACAUAUUAUUAUAUGGUUAUCUAUAUUUCCUUUAAUUGGUCUUGAUUUGUUACUUUAGAUAGUUAUUAUAUAAAGCCUAUAAAUAAGCUCGUGUAUUCUUUAUUUGAUGUUCUACAAAAUAUUACAUCUUUCCGUCAUUAUGAUUCUCGACUUGGAUGAAAAAAAAUCAACUCGUCAAAAGUAGAACCUCAUCAGUUUACUUGCCUAGCUGCCUGAAACAUUAUUAGUAGACUACACUAUGACGUCGCUUCACUAAAGGUGAUUUGAUUUUUGAUCUUUUAAUUACUAUUUUUUUGGUCAAAAACCUUUUAAUUGCACCUUGUUAUUACUGUUGGCACGGUGAUUUUUGAACUCGACAAGGACUGCCCAGUCAACCAUGCAACGAGGGGACAAUUUCUACGAUGAGAAACACGCACGCAUGCAUUGACUAUGGGAGUCUCCAAAGACAAUUAUUCGUUCCUGCUGACACUAAGGACCCGACCUCCAUGAUUUGGCAAUUUGCUUUUGCGUAGAACACGGAAUUUAUGCUAAAGAGCUUCUUUGAAUUUUUGAUAUCCCUCUUUUCUUUUUGUGAUAGAAAACUUUCCACGCGGAUGUUUUAUCGUGUUCAAAAGAAAUGUCAAUCUUUCAAAUCUACAUCAUGUUUCCAUGAAAGUCUUUACACGUUGCACUACAAACGUAUUAGUACAUGCGUUAAUGCAGCUGAGAGUCGAUUCGGACACCAAUGAGAGUAAGUGCGGGCUGGGUUGAAGAUCUCCAUUCAACUAGCGAAGGUGUCAAAUGCGGGAAAAUUAUCAUAUUAGGUAGAUAGAAUAUGAUUUUCGGCAUAUAAAUAAUAUGAGUCGAAAUGUAUACUAUGACCCCUCUUAAAUUUUGAGACCCAUGUUCUCCCUUACGUCUAAUCAUGGAAACCCAUGACCCACAUGUAUUUAAAUUCUCUAUUCCUUUGUUUUCCAAUUCGUUUUACAUGUUUCUGAUCUUGAUAUUUUCUAACUUUAUUUUGAUCUUAAAUGCACAUGCCAUCACCUAAUGAGAGGAGCACGGAUUAAAAGACAAUGUGAAUGGAUGAGAUCCGCCGCUUAUUUUGAAAAAAAUCAUUUUUAUGCUUUGUCCAUUUCUUGACAUUAACUCCUUUCCAAUCUCUAAACCUUCCAAUGUCCUAUUAAAAAGUCUUGCGAUCAUUAGUAUUCAUUUGAAAGCCUACCCCUUUCUUGAGUCAUGGAAAAAUUACCUCUAUAGCUUGCCACCUAUUUUAUCUUAAAUUAAAAUUUAAGUUCAUUUUUUUCGUAGUGACACGCAAUUAUUAAACUGAUGAUAGUUAUAAAAUUGACAAUAAAAAUCUUUCCAAAUAUCACUAUUUAAAUAAAUUUUCACUAACGAUUACAUCUAUAGUCAUAAAUCAAACCUAAACCUAAGUGAUUUAAGAAAUAUAGCCAGAUGGAAAAAUAAAUCAUCUUACCUUAUAGUGAUGGCCCUCUCAUUGAACGUGGUCCGAUUUGCAUUCUUUGACCCAACCAAGUUACAAAAGUCAAUGUCAACUCGGUAUCGACUUCACUUAGAAGUUGAGAGAGAGAGAGAGAGAGAGAGAGAGAAGGAAUGGCAUGACAUUGAACUGUCAGAUUCUAUUUAUUGAUUCAAUAAUAAAGUAAAAAACGUAACUACUAGAAGUAAUGGUCCACCGAGAUAUAGGUACUUGUCGGAUUCCACUUAAAGCACCCCUUCUUUUUUGUUCUUUUUCGGUUAGUUAGUUAAGGCGCGUUUGGUAACACUUCUGUUCCCAGGAACAAUUUCUGAAUAUAAGAACGCGCUUAAUAAUUGUACAAAAUUUAUAUUUCUGGGAAAGAAAUGCGUUUGGUAAAAUUGUAUAAAUUUGUUGUUUCUUUUAAUUUUUAAAUAUUUUUAUUAUAUUUUUCCUGUUUUUCUUCUUUCUUUUUUAUUUUUUCUUCUCUCUCCUUCUUCCUCUUUUAUGGCCGGUCGCCGGCAACUAGCUAGGCGAGGUUGGGUGAGCUCGCCGGAGCCUCAUCUGACCAAGGUGAGGGCUGGCGAGCUCGCCGAAGGCUCGCCUAGCCCUCGCGAGGCUUAGCCUCGCCAAAUCUAGGCGAGGUCGAGCCUUGUCGGUGGCCUCGCAAGCAUCACGAGGCUCGACCUCGCCUAGGCAGCACGAGGCCGAGCCUCGUCGUGCCUUGCCCAGCCAUGGCAAGGCUCGGGUCAACGAGUUUUGCCAUGGCUCGGCGUCUCCAGGGGCUAUCAACGCUUCGGCAAAGUCGCCGGCCCUCAUCUGAUCAGUCGCCGAUGCCGGUCAUGGCCAAGGCUAGCGAUUGGCCAAAAGGAAGAAUAAGAAGAAGAAGAAAAAAAGCAGAGAGAGAAAAAUAUAUUCUAGAAAUUGUUCCCGACAAUAAGAAAUUUUUUUCUACUUCUUGUUUCUAUUCCAAAUUUAUUCUCAGGAACAAAUUUCUUUUUUAUUCCUAUGAAUAAAAAUUUUACCAAACAAAAAUAGUUAUUCCGAGGAACAGAAACAGAUUUUAACAAACAGGCCCUUAUGAUACAAGAUUUGGUUUCCAAUUUUAGUGGGAGUCUGCCAAUUUAGAAAUCAGGAUUUACGAAGUUGCAGCAGAUCUACUGGUUUGCUUUGCUAGGUUGUAAUUGUAAUAGCGGCGGCGAAUUACCCACCUUUGAAGCGGACACUUCAAUUUUCGUUGUGGGAUGUUAAGUGUCAACUUCAUCAAUAUUCACUCGGCCCCCACCUCUCAGAUCUCAGGCGGAUUAAUUUCAAAUAACAAAUUGCACUUAACUUCAUGACAAUUCAUUAAGCAAGUUUCAAUAGCUGUUUAACUGUGAAACUCCUUUGCAACCAUUAAAAGUGCAUGUGAGGAUUUAAAUACGGACAUGAUCAUAAUUGAAAUGCUAGAGUUGAUUACCCAAUCGAGUAGAUUAAGCAUUCCUCAGUUCUUUGGGAGCUAGUGCUCUGGCUAUUAACAACUUCUAAGGCAACAACGCCAAAACUAUAGAUGUCGGCUUUGUCAGUGAGGUAACCAUGCAUUGUGUACUCCGGUGCCAUAUAUCCACUGCAGGAAAAAAAAGAAGAUCAUUGUUGUUCUUUAUAAACUUUUUUUUUUUUUUGGUUUGAAAUAUAAGUAUCAUUUAUAAGAUGACGUACAUGAGCUUAAGGGCAUUUCCCAGCAUUACAAAGAUAUCUAAGAACGUGCAAAAAUGGAGUGAGGGAAUCUCCAUAUAGUGCCCAAUAUUAGAUUUAUUUUGGAAGGCCUAAAGUUUUUGUAAUGUGAAGCUCACCCUGUAACAAGUUUACAAAUUUUAGCCACAAUGAUGGGUACAUCAUUUGACUUGUUUUGGAAAUGUCUAUAAUUACGUUUAUAGUUCUUUUUCUUGAAUGAACGUUAGAGUUAGUAGAAUGAACUUACAAUUUUAUCUUUUCCCUAAUUAAUCACAUUCCUUUCAAAAACAAGUUGACUUUUCACAUGCAUUAAUGCAUAUAUCUAAAACAUGUGAACAUGCUUAUCAAUGUUUUUCCAUGCGCAUACAAUAGAAACUUGAAGGUGUGGAUGUUGAAAUCUUUCCACACCAAUUUCCCCUGAAAUAAUAUUUCAUCUGAUUCAAGUUGAGUUUCUCCACACUGAACAAGGUAAAACUUUUAGUCUCCAUAGAAUGUACAAAUUGUGAAAAAAUCAUGAUUUGCAAGUACGAGAUAUUUGGAUAAACUUCCCAACCAUAACAUAUCGAACGCUUUAUGUGCUUUAUAUAUUAGAACCAGCACUCCAUAAUGCUCCGAGUUUACCUGUAUAUAAAUAUUAAAAGCUCUCCUUCCAAGGCUUUUAUAACUUUUGUUGCCUGUGAACAUUAUCUCCGCAAAAUGAAGGGUUACAUUGUAGGCCCAUCCAUCAGACAAAAACCAUAAUAAGUUAGAGAGAUGGCAGAACAUCGUGCUUCCAUGUAAAGUUGGGCAUUAUUCAUGGACAGUGUGGAUGUGUUUUUAACUUCAUAGCUAACUGCUGCGACAUUGUAAUCGGCGAAGUAACUAGUGCUACUGUAGGCCCAGUAAUCACUCUUGAAGAAACUUGAAGGUGUAGCCUCCUGUGAGUCAUCUUCGUAUGUGGUGCCCCUUACUUCUGCUUUGCUCCCACCGCAAUUUAUGAAGAGGUUAUACCGACCUGGAUGGAGCAAAGAAGCAGCCGCACAGAAAAUUCAGUUUCUUCUAUUUGUUAAUAUGGAGUGGACUUUCCAGACACACUAAAUAAGCUAGCAUUCACUCAUUGGAAAAUUACAUAGAAACUCCCAAGUUAUGAGCUAUGUAGCACGGACACUCUCUGGAAGCCUUCAAGUCGUGUCCGACACUCCGACAUGCUCCAACACGUCCCGACACGCUCCGACACGCGGUCAAUGAGUGUCGAAAAAUCCGACACGUGUUCAACUCUCUCCGACACGCGAGUCCAGAAUUCCGACACGUGAUUCUGACACGCACGGGGUCAAUUUUAAAAAUUUCUAAUACUUGAGAGGUCAAAAUAUAAAUAUACAAAAAAGAAGUAAUAAAAGAAGUAAUAAAAUUUCUAUAAAUAUACACGCAUAGGGUUAAUUUUUUUUUUCAGUUUUGUUUUUUAUAAUUGUUUUAGUUUUUUUAAAAGUCUUUUACUAUGAAAAAAGUAAUAAAAAAUGCUUUAUAUGAUAAAUAAAUAAAUAUAAAAAUAUCAUUUCAUCAUUUUUCUUUAAACAAUGUUUUUUUCCUCUAAUUUUUAUGUAUUAUUGUAACAAAUUAAAAUAAUGAAUGAUAUUAUUUAAUAUUUUUCGUGUAAAUUAAUUCUAGGCUAUUUUUAUUAUUAUUUAUUCAUGUAUUUAUAUAUUUAAUAUAUAACGUGUCAGAACGUGUCGAAAUUCUCUAUUUUUAAGAAAUCAUGUGUUGGCGUGUCGUGUCAUGUCGUGUCGCGUGUCGCGUGUCCGUGUCGGUGCUACAUAGGUUAUGAGCAACCCAUUAUUUCAUGC
rnacentral:lncRNA from 1 species